rnacentral:lncRNA from 1 species
UGGGACAGUGCGCAGGACGAAAGCCAUCUGGUAGCUUUGCUUGCAAGACCAGAUUAAGAAAGCACCAGCACAAAAACCACAAAGGAGAAGAUGAAGCUGUAUUUCCGGAGGAAAGCAAAGAUUUCUACCCAAAGCUGAGCACCUUCUGGGCACACAUAGCUUCUGAAGAGGCCAGGUGUACAGCUGACUUGGGAUUGAGGGGUUCUCCACGUAGUGAGGAGUUUUGUUACAGAAAGAACGCAGACCGCUACCAUAUCUGCUGAAGUGCAGGUCUGCUGGUGUCACUAGAGAGGAAGGAGACCGCAAGAAGACAGCGGCCGGGGGGAUCUAGGAGAUGGAAAGGGUCCUGAAAAAUUCUAAUCUGGAUAAUCUCUGGAUACUGGACAAUGAAGCCCAGGUGUGCUCUAAAAAAAUGGAGCAAAAUUUGGUCCAACUCAUGCCAAUUGUGUUCAACAGUUUAUAGGAUAAGUAGAUCCUUUCAGGCUGUCAUAGUUCAAGCUCUUGGAAUGACCAGUAAUAUAUACUUAAACAUAUGACAAAACUUAAGGGAAAAGAGGGCCCAAGGCAUGCAGGGGAACUGAGCAUAAAGGCCAUUGUAUUUCAUGUAUGACUUGACUGUGUUUCAGUAAAGCAAUUUUAGCUCUAAAC